CGGUAAGGCUUGUCACUCUUCGGAGUGACUCGCACACGAGUGGCGCACGGGUGAGUAACGCGUGGGUAAUCUGCCUUCGGGUUUGGGACAACUCCGGGAAACUGGAGCUAAUACCGAAUAAGACCACGAGGUCUUCGGGCCUUGCGGAAAAAGGUGGCCUCUUCUUGAAAGCCAUCGCCUGUAGAUGAGCCCGCGUCCCAUUAGCUUGUUGGUGAGGUAAAAGCUCACCAAGGCAUCGAUGGGUAGCUGGUCUGAGAGGAUGAUCAGCCACACUGGAACUGAGACACGGUCCAGACUCCUACGGGAGGCAGCAGUCGGGAAUCUUGCACAAUGGGCGAAAGCCUGAUGCAGCAACGCCGCGUGAGGGAUGAAGGCCCUCGGGUCGUAAACCUCUGUCGGAAGGGAAGAAGGUAUUCCGGGCCAAUACCCCGGGAUAUUGACGGUACCUUCAAAGGAAGCGCCGGCUAACUCCGUGCCAGCAGCCGCGGUAAUACGGAGGGCGCGAGCGUUAUUCGGAAUCAUUGGGCGUAAAGCGCGUGUAGGCGGCUGGGUAAGUCGGAUGUGAAAUCCCGGGGCUCAACCCCGGAAUUGCAUUCGAAACUGCCCAGCUAGAGUCUCGGAGAGGAGGGCGGAAUUCCCGGUGUAGAGGUGAAAUUCGUAGAUAUCGGGAGGAACACCAGUGGCGAAGGCGGCCCUCUGGACGAUGACUGACGCUGAGACGCGAAAGCGUGGGGAGCAAACAGGAUUAGAUACCCUGGUAGUCCACGCCGUAAACGUUGGGUGCUAGGUGUCGCGGGUAUU
rnacentral:rRNA from 1 species